GGUCCGCUGGCUCAAUGGCAGAGCGUCUGACUACGAUCUUCAUUCAGUCACGAGUCGGCGAGAACCCAGUCUUGGCGUGAGUAGUCAUCAGGAGGUUCCAGGUUCGACCCCUGGGUGGAUCG